ensembl:lncRNA
CGACAAACACCAAUGUCAGGAUCAAUAGCCUACGAAUGGCUACAACUGGAGUCUCGGGGAACAGUCCGGCUAGUCGAUUACCUAUCAACUAGACUCCGUAACAGUCAUCCUCCCAGGGAUGCGUGGCAGCCAUUUUCAUGUUUGUUAACGUUAGCCCGCGAAAGACCGCAUUCACGCUGUCAGGUCACACAGCCCUUGCACACACCCCAUGCAUUUAGUGAUCCUGAUGAAAUGUAUUUGGAUUCUUCUGAUUUCACCUGUGAUUGAGGAGUGAUAACAUGGGUAUUUGGCUUCUGGAGACUAUUUGCAGCCUGGCCUUCGCCUAUCGUCUUGGAUUCGAGACAGUGUCGCAGUGCAUUAUGGAGACCUGUGAGGCCAUAGAGAGGAAGAUGCUGGCGAUCCAUCUGCCAUGACCCACUGAGGAAACCUGGAGACAAACUUCAAGAGUUUCAUGAAAAAUGGGACUUUCCCAAUUGUUUGGGAUCGGUUGAUGGAAAACAUGUUAUGAUCACCAAACCACCAAACUCAGGGAGACGUUUUUUUAAAUUAUAAAGGAACCUUCUGUGGUGUUACUCGCCCUUGUGGAUGCCAAUUACCACUUCACAGCUAUUCAAGUGGGGGAUUUUGGGAGAAACAGUGAUGGAGGAGUCUAUGCCAACUCCCCACUUGGAAGGGCAAUGGCAUCAAAAACACUGCAGGUGCCUUUCUGCCUGGGGGUGAAGAUUUAGGAAAGAUACCAUACACAUUGGUGGUGCACGCUGCCUUCCCACUAAAGCCCUACCUGAUGAGGCCAUAUGCCGGGCAUAACAUCAGCUACGAGAAAGAAAUCUUCAACUAUUGUCUCUGUCGAAUGACAGUGGAGAAGGCAUUCGGGAUCCUUGCGGCCAGAUGGAGAAUCCUCUACCAAAAAUAAACCUACUGCCAAGCGAGGUUGAUACCCUAGUGGUUGCAAUGUGCAUCCUCAAUUUCCUCACAAGCCUUUUGAUGUGGAGAUGUGGUUACAGCAAGGUGGGGCAGGGAUGAGGCAAGGCAUGAGAGGCAUAGCCAUCCAGGCCAAUAGAGCAGGUCAGGAGGCAGUUUCUGUCAGACAAAAGUUUACUAAGUAUUUCACCUCUGUGGAAGGCAAAAUUGACUUCCAGGACAGAAUGGUUGUAGCUAGGCCUACUUACUUAGAUGCACUGUGUGAGAGUGUGUGUGUGUGUAGUUUAUCAACUCGGGAUAGUAAGUUCAACUUUGACAUCUUCAUUUGUUUUGUGUAUUCAUUCUACACUUUAAAACGAUUGUACAAUUCCACCAUUAUUUCAACAACGAACAAAAAAUGUACAUGAACAUUUGAAAAAUUGAAAUACUUGUAAUUUUCAACAACACAAAAAUCUCACAUGACUGUUGGCUUCAGAGGAUUUAUGUAUUAAUAAAAGCAUACAGCACACAUGGCAUUUACAUUCAGCUAACGCUAGCUAGUUUGUUUUAUACCGAGGAUGAACAUUGGGUUGUUAUACUUUACCUGAAAUGUGCAUGGUCUUUGCAAUCUCUCUCCAUAACGCAUCUUUAUUAGUUGGAUCCUUGUUGAAUUUUGAAGACGGGUCAUAUAAAAGUGAGUACUUCUCUACUUCAACGAUAAAUCUCUCCUCGUCCAUGUUUCAAGCACCCACGUUGGCUUUUGUUUACAGGAAGUAGGGGACGGACGUAUGUUUGUUGUGAGAACCAAUGAGUUUAUGAGAGGCGGAACUUCCAGACUUGAUAUGUCGGUUUGCAACCAAUUUAAGGUGCAUUCCGCCACCAACUGGACUGGAGUGUGUACCUUGCAGUUAGUCUUUCAGUCACACACGUGGGUAUAACCAAUAAGGAGAUGACACAUGAGUACCUGACAAACCAAUGAGGAGAUGGGAGAGGCAGGACUUCAGUGCAAUCUGUGUCAGAAAUAGAAUUGAUUUCUAUUUUAGCCCUUGCGUCACAGACGCUCGCGAGCAGUGGGUGCAAUAAUUGAAUAACAUGGAUUUCUAAAUUUAUUUUGCAACACUUGGGCACGCGACGUGUCCGUGUAAUGGUUUUCUUGAGUUGAAGGAGAGGCGGACCAAUACGCAGCGUGGUUACUAUUCAUGGUUCUUUAAUAAAGCAACAACGCAUGAACAAAUUAACAAAACAAGUGAAAAAAAAAAAAACCCAAAACAGCCCUAUCUGGUGCAAACACAGAGACAAGAACAAUCACCCACAAAACCCAACACCGAACAGGCUACCUAAAUAUGGUUCCCAAUCAGAGACAAUGACUAACACCUGCCUCUGAUUGAGAACCAUAUUAGGCCAGACAUAGAAAUAGACAAACAAGACAUCCAACAUAGAAUGCCAACUCAGAUCACACCCUGACCAAACAAAACAUAAAAACAUACAAAGCAAACUAUGGUCAGGGUGUGACAGUCUGGUCUGGUCAGCAUGUUAUGAUUAACUUAGACUCAGCAAAUGAAGAUAAGUAAAAUAUUUUUCAGUGGGUUAUACUAGACUAGGUCAGUGUGUUAAUGCUGCUGGACCCCAGAGUACUGAACAAUGUCUAGCUAAUCUAACACAUCUGUUUCAACUCAUGAAGACAGAACUAUGUCAGAGAGAUGCCUAUAUUGUCCAUUACUGUGCUGGGUCGGAGAAGGACUGAGAAACAUUUGAGUAAGCUGGUUCGAUUGCACAUGUGAAGAUUUGGGAUUUCUGUUUAAAACCAGGUAUACGUGGCAGAGCAAAAAUAUGUGAAACUGUCUGAGCUGACAUUUGAUUCUUUCUUGAAAGAAGGCGUGUGUGCGUUACCUUAGGUUUGAUGGUGCCUUUAGUUAGUUAAGUUGUAUUUUUCUUCAUAUUGACACUAGUCCCCAACUAUUUCACCUUGACACACAAUGUCUGUGUUUUUUUUCUUCUUCAGUUUUCAUCAAAUUCAGCAUACCAGAGGAAAGACAGUCUGACAUCAACGUGUAUGACCAGUCUCACACAGAAAUUGACUCAGAGGUGUUUGAAGGGAUUGCAAAGGAGUCACCUGGCACCUUCUGGACCACUCUAGGCGAUGAAGGACUUGCUUUUCAAUCAUCAUCGUCAUCCUCUGUAAGAUCUGAUGACACUAAUUCUGAAUUUCACUGUGUGACCAUCAUGAAGAAGCAGCCACUGGUGAAGGGAGCCAACCCAAAAGAUAGUGCCAGAUAAACUAAGGCUAAAGCGGUAUGUGGUAGAAACUACUGUUUAGUGUAAUCUGUAUGUUUGUUUCAUAUUAUGGGAUUGGGGAGUGUUCUUGAGCUGAUUCUUUACUAUUUUUAAAAUCUUAAAGUUUAAUUUACUCACCAAGAGCACCUAAUUCCUUUAUUUUGUUUAAAGUUGAUUGAAAGAAUCCGAACAUCAAAACCUGGUGGUGAACGCAUCAUACAAGAGUAUGGAAAACCAAGACUCUGACAGAUGCCACCAGAAGGCAGAUGUCAGGAUGAUGUAUGCACAGGGAAUUGUUGCAUUGUUUCCUUAUCUCGAAGACUCAUUUUCAAAAAAUGUAUAUGUAAGUAAAGUAAAAGUGUCUCUGGAACAUUACGUACAUGAUCAGUCUUUGAAAUGUAUGCAUUUAUAUGUAUGUAUUAUGUAGGAACAUUACUAUGAUCAAGAGAGUGGGUCUGGAUACAUGGCAUGAUUGAAGACCAUACAAAAAAAAGCACAUUUCCCGAAGUUGGUGGGCCAGGCCAUGGUCGAUAGCCCUUUCACCCGUGACGAAGUGCCAACUAACGAAGACAUCGAGGCAGCCAUUGCUGUUUUUAGAUUUUCUGCUGAUGAAGACUCUGUCCGGGAGAAGAUGAAGACUGCCUUCCCUCAUUGCCAAGCUGAUGCAGACAAAUCAGCAGAUGUCUUCUCAGUCUUCCCCAGGGUAUUGGAUAUACCAGGACUGAUAGAACAAGACUUCAGGCUUCUGUUUGGUGAGGCCACAACCAACAAGUUCUUGGAGAAGUGGCCAACCACUUUCAAGGGAAAAGUGAUGGAAAGUGAUGGACUUACACCCACCACAGAACUCUUGGAAUUGAUGUGCAAUGCUGAGUCAGCUGUUGAAAAUGAGAAUGGACAGAUGUCUGCAUGUCAAGGGGUUGAUCAGCUCAUCAGAUUUCAAAAGGUUGGAACCAGUGUGCAGCAGCAUCUGGAUAGCAUCACCCAAAGCGGUCAGCCCUACCUUCUUGCCUUGGGAUCCAUAAAGAGCAGCAUUCACUCCUACUUUGUUGUGAUCGACAAGCAUGCGGUUCCAGUAGGAACCUUUGACGAACUCUUUAAGGCUCACUUCAUCGUUGGUACAUCAUACAGUUCUUGCCUGAGUAACUUCUUCACUUUUGUGCAAACAACCAUCUACAACAUUGAUAUGGGGGAAACAAAGGAGACUCCCCAAGUUGCUGAGUUGAGAGCAAGAAUGUUGCGUUAGUGAAGAUCUGCUAAGGUGAAAUUAUGAAGUGUUUUCUAUGCAAGACUGAGCAUACAAGUUCCGCUUCAAGUGUCAAUCAGAAAAUUAUGAUUGUAUAAUAAUAAUAAUAAUUGUCAAGCACCUUAAAGUAAUUAAUGGACUUUGUCCAGGGAGAACUCUUUAUCUAAAAUGUGGUCAAGUGGGAUGUUCACGUUCCUUUGGUAGCUUUUCUGGUUUUAGAAAGCAUUUAAGUAAUUGCCACAUUAGCAGUUUAUUUGGUUCAGUCGGUGGUGUUGAUUUUUCAAACUCUCAAAGCACCUUUAACACUUGUAAAGGUAGUGAUGUUGGAGAAGUGUUGACUGAAAAUGUAGAGUGAGUCAGCGACGUCUUCCCCAGACAUUGUAAAUAGUUGUGCGUCUGUAAUUGCUGAUCUAAAGGCAGCAGGUGUAGGUCAAAGUACAGUUAAUUCUGUUGUGAAUUCCAUGGAAGAGAGAGUUCAUGAUAUCCAACAGCGAGCUAAAUAAACUUUCGUUAAGCAUGUUCUAUGUGAUGAAGGACAAACUGAAAUAUCCAAGAAAGGAGGCAUCUUUUGAAGGGUUAGAGAAUCCUUUCACUGUGCUAAAUUCUGAAUACAAGAUGUCCACAUUUUUCAGAGAAGUGGGAAACUGUAGAACCAGUUGAACAUGUCAUUGGCUCAAGAUUUGACACAAGACGAAACAAAAAGACUGGAACAUAUGACCAGAUUGUAGUUCAAGACAAAUUCAUGUAUGUUCCAAUAUUGUCUACCUUGCAGUCAAUAUUCAAAUGUAAACAUGUUUCAGAGAUGUUUCGCUUUCCUAGUGACACAAGACUUGUGUGAUGGAUCUUUUAUUAGGAGUCACCCUCUUUUCUCAACAGAAAGACACGUCAUACAGAUUCAAUUGUUCUAGGAUUAUUUUAAGGUUGCAAACCCUGUGGGUUUCAAGUGAGGAUUUCAUAAAUUGGGUGCUAUAUAUUUUACUUUAAGGAACUUCUCUCCUAAAUGGAAUUCUUGUUGGGCUAACAUAUACCUGUGUGCCUUAAUUCAUGCUCAAGAUCUUAAAUGUUAUGGAUUAGGGCAAUCCUUGCUCCUAUUGUUUGAGACAUUAAAGUGUUAGAGUGAUGGCAUUGUGGUUCCUUUAUACAGUGGUUGUGUUCAUGGCAGUGUGGUUCAGGUUACUGGCGAUAAUCUGGGUCUACAUAGUUUGUUUGGCCUGGUGGAGUCUUUCAGCGCAAGUUAUUGCUGUCUUGCAGAAAAAGAUGACUCAGACAGAAUUCUCUGAAGAUUGUCCCAAGAUAGCGUUGUGAACUAAAGAAAUGCACACUGCUCACUGUCAGAGAAUGAAUAGAAAUCCAUCUCUUCCAUACGUUUUUGGUGUGACGCAUUCGUGUUUAUUAAACUGAGUAUUAUCACAGAACUGAGAACUUCUCAGUUGAUGUGAUGCAUGAUGUGUUAGAGGGUGUGGCCCAGUACGAGUUGAAGUUAUUUAUCUGAAGAAAAAACAUGUAACAUCAGCAGAAUUAGAUUUAAGAAUACAAAGUUUGAUUAUGAUUAAUGGAAAGAAACAAACCCGUGGCUGUGAAUUUAUCAGAAGGAUCGAAUGAUUUGGGGCUUAAUGCAAUUCAGUCACAGUGCCUACUGAGAAACGCUCCUCUUAUUUUGGGGGAUUUGGUAACUUCUACUGAACAGCACUGGGGCCUACUCCUUUUAUUACUUUAAAUAGUUAACAUAAUAUUUUCUCCUAUGUUAACAGAGGGUCUCUGUGUUUAUUUAAACAGUUGUUUUCCCAGAGAGAACUUUUACCAAAGCACCAUUUUCUAAUCCAUUAUCCCCGCUGCAUCUAGAAAAUUGGACCUGUAAUUCAUAGUUGGUGUAUGCAGUAUGAAGGUAAGCAUGCUUUUUUGAAACUACAAUCUUAAAUAAAAAUUUCAAAAAACUAUAUGGCGUAUAAUUGGCAAUCCUCUACACUUUUUAGUCAAUAAGACAUUGGUCCUGUGAAAUGGUGCCUUUGAAUAUGGUAAAAGCUGGUUCUAUGAUUGCUGUGGCAAUUAGCACUCAGGUUAUGAAAGUGGACUGGGCUAAAUACCAUGGCUUUGUUUACCGCCCAAGCAUGUUAUCUGUUGUAAAAUUGAAUUUGAAAUGCCUCCGUUUUAUCAAAUGGAAAAGUGUUGCUGCUCACAGUGCCUUUAAUUACUCUAGCUUUUCAAGAACAUUUCAAUGUGUACAAAGUAACCAAGUCAAAACAUGGUUUUGUUUUCUUUCAUGUCCGACAACCUGCAUUAUCAUAGACCAUUUGAUAUACAAAUGUCGUAUGGAAGGAAUUAGAUAUCUAUUUGUUGUCCCAUAUUGCUUUCUCUGGUGAGCAUGUCACUUGCGAUGUUGACAGUGUAAAUGGUUACAUUGAUUAAAGGCAAGGUGAGGGGUGGGUUGAUGUGCAUUAACAUUGAAAUGGAUUACUUUUAUCAUGUGUAAUUGUGUUUAUUCACAUUGACACCAAGUUAAGUAAUUGGGUAAUACUACUGUGCAGUGGAGCUUUCUGGAUAACACUAGAGAAAAAAAAACAAGUGUCAAUUUUAACACAACUUUGAGUAUACUUGACUCUGAAAAG